rnacentral:rRNA from 1 species
ACGGAAGGCAGCAGUGGGGAAUAUUGGGCAAUGGGCGCAAGCCUGAUCCAGCGACGCCGCGUGAGCGAUGAAGUAUUUCGGUAUGUAAAGCUCUAUCAGCAGGGAAGAAAACGACGGUACCUGACUAAGAAGCCCCGGCUAACUACGUGCCAGCAGCCGCGGUAAUACGUAGGGGGCAAGCGUUAUCCGGAUUUACUGGGUGUAAAGGGAGCGUAGACGGAAUGGCAAGUCAGAAGUGAAACUUCGGGGCUCAACCCCGGAACUGCUUUUGAAACUGUCAAUCUUGAGUACUGGAGAGGUAAGCGGAAUUCCUAGUGUAGCGGUGAAAUGCGUAGAUAUUAGGAGGAACACCAGUGGCGAAGGCGGCUUACUGGACAGCAACUGACGUUGAGGCUCGAAAGCGUGGGGAGCGAACAGGAUUAGAUACCCUGGUA